rnacentral:rRNA from 1 species
UAAUGACCUGGCGGCAGCUUACACAUGCAGUCGAACGGUAACGGGAAGGAGCUUGCUUCUUUGCCGACGAGUGGCGGACGGGUGAGUAAUGCUUGGGAAUCCGGCUUAUGGAGGGGGAUAACGACGGGAAACUGUCGCUAAUACCGCGUAAUAUCUACGGAUUAAAGGGUGGGACCUUCGGGCCACCUGCCAUAAGAUGAGCCCAAGUGGGAUUAGGUAGUUGGUGGGGUAAAGGCCUACCAAGCCUGCGAUCUCUAGCUGGUCUGAGAGGAUGACCAGCCACACCGGGACUGAGACACGGCCCGGACUCCUACGGGAGGCAGCAGUGGGGAAUAUUGCACAAUGGGGGGAACCCUGAUGCAGCCAUGCCGCGUGAAUGAAGAAGGCCUUCGGGUUGUAAAGUUCUUUCGGUAGCGAGGAAGGUGUUUUGUUUAAUAGAUAAAGCAAUUGACGUUAACUACAGAAGAAGCACCGGCUAACUCCGUGCCAGCAGCCGCGGUAAU